CCUACGGGUGGCUGCAGUGGGGAAUAUUGCACAAUGGGCGCAAGCCUGAUGCAGCCAUGCCGCGUGUGUGAAGAAGGUCUUCGGGUUGUAAAGCACUUUCAGCGGGGAGGAAGGCGGUGAGGUUAAUAACCUCAUCGAUUGACGUUACCCGCAGAAGAAGCACCGGCUAACUCCGUGCCAGCAGCCGCGGUAAUACGGAGGGGUGCAAGCGUUAAUCGGAAUUACUGGGCGUAAAGCGCACGCAGGCGGUCUGUCAAGUCGGAUGUGAAAUCCCCGGGCUCAACCUGGGAACUGCAUUCGAAACUGGCAGGCUAGAGUCUUGUAGAGGGGGGUAGAAUUCCAGGUGUAGCGGUGAAAUGCGUAGAGAUCUGGAGGAAUACCGGUGGCGAAGGCGGCCCCCUGGACAAAGACUGACGCUCAGGUGCGAAAGCGUGGGGAGCAAACAGGAUUAGAUACCCCUGUAGUC
rnacentral:rRNA from 1 species